AACGUAGGAGACGAGCGUUAUCCGGAUUUACUGGGCGUAAAGCGCGUGCAGGCGGCAUGGCAAGUUGGAUGUGAAAGCUCCCGGCUUAACUGGGAGAGGUCGUUCAAUACUGCCAGGCUUGAGAGUGGUAGAGGGAAGCGGAAUUCCGGGUGUAGUGGUGAAAUGCGUAGAUAUCCGGAGGAACACCAGUGGCGAAAGCGGCUUCCUGGCCCAUUUCUGACGCUCAGACGCGAAAGCUAGGGUAGCAAACGGGAUUAGAGACCCCGGUAGUCCUAGCCGUAAACGAUGUGAACUUGGCGUUGGCGGGUUUAAAUCCGUCAGUGCCGUAGCUAACGCGAUAAGUUCACCGCCUGGGGACUACGGCCGCAAGGUUAAA
rnacentral:rRNA from 1 species